AUUGAACGCUAGCGGCAUGCUUAACACAUGCAAGUCGAGCGGCAGCGCGGGGCAACCUGGCGGCGAGCGGCGGACGGGUGAGUAAUACGUAGGAAUCUGCCUUGUAGUGGGGGACAACCCGGGGAAACUCGGGCUAAUACCGCAUAAUCUCUAAGGAGGAAAGUAGGGGACCUUCGGGCCUUACGCUAUAAGAUGAGCCUGCGUCGGAUUAGCUAGUUGGUGGGGUAAAGGCCUACCAAGGCGACGAUCCGUAGCUGGUCUGAGAGGACGAUCAGCCACACUGGGACUGAGACACGGCCCAGACUCCUACGGGAGGCAGCAGUGGGGAAUAUUGGACAAUGGGGGCAACCCUGAUCCAGCAAUGCCGCGUGUGUGAAGAAGGCCUUCGGGUUGUAAAGCACUUUCAGUGGGGAAGAACCAAUUCAAGGCUAAUAUCCUUGAGUCUUGACAUUACCUACAGAAGAAGCACCGGCAAACUCUGUGCCAGCCGCCGCCGUAA
rnacentral:rRNA from 1 species